rnacentral:SRP_RNA from 1 species
CCUGGGCUUUGUGGCGGGUACCUGUGGCUCCAGCUACUCGGGAGGCUGAGGCAAGAGAACUGCCUAAGCCCAGGAGUUGGAGGUUGCUGUGAGCUGUGUGAUGCCACGGCACUCUACUGAGGGCGAUAAAGUGAGACUCUGCUUCUUUUUUUUUUUUUUUUUUGAGACAGAGCCUCAAGCUGUCCCCCGGGUACUGUGAUGCCCGGAAUACCGUGGCAUCACAGCUCACAGCAACCUCCAACUCCUGGGCUCAAGCCAGUCUCUUGCCUCAG